rnacentral:rRNA from 1 species
AACGAACGCUGGCGGCAUGCCUAACACAUGCAAGUCGAACGAGACCUUCGGGUCUAGUGGCGCACAGGUGCGUAACGCGUGGGAACCUGCCCAUAGGUUCGGAAUAACUCGCCGAAAGGGGUGCUAAUACCGGAUAAUGUCUUCGGACCAAAGAUUUAUCGCCUUUGGAUGGGCCCGCGUCGGAUUAGCUAGUUGGUAGGGUAAAGGCCUACCAAGGCGACGAGCCAUAGCUGGUCUGAGAGGAUGAUCAGCCACACUGGGACUGAGACACGGCCCAGACUCCUACGGGAGGCAGCAGUGGGGAAUAUUGGAGAAUGGGCGAAAGCCUGAUCCAGCCAUGCCGCGUGGGUGAAGAAGGCCUUCGGAUUGUAAAGCACUUUAGGCUGGGAGGAAGUGCAGUAACUUAAUACCGUCGUGUGAUGACGGUACCGAAAGAAUAAGCACCGGCUAACUUCGUG